rnacentral:siRNA from 1 species
CCGCACGCGCGCUACACUGAU